ACGCUCGACACCUACGGGAGGCAGCAGUGAGGAAUAUUGGUCAAUGGACGCAAGUCUGAACCAGCCAUGCCGCGUGCAGGAUGACGGGCUCUAUGAGUUGUAAACUGCUUUUGUACGAGGGUAAACGCAGAUACGUGUAUCUGUCUGAAAGUAUCGUACGAAUAAGGAUCGGCUAACUCCGUGCCCGCAGCCGCGGUAAUCUGAGCGGGCUGGCAAGGC
rnacentral:rRNA from 1 species